CAAAUAUAUACAUAAUAAAUUCUGAACAAAUUUAAAGUCAAUUUUAAAUGAAUCAUUAAGAAAUUCUUAAUGAAUUCCAAAUAAAAUAUUCGAAUACUCCAAUUCUUAUAAAGUGAUUCAGUUCGUGUGAGGAAGCCAUGUAAUUAACGAAAAAGGCAACCAAACAACCGAAUGACUUCGUAAUAGAGCGCUUAGGCGCAAUCGCUUUGCCGAUUGCAUUAAAGCUCCAUUAAGAGGGGACGACUCGGAUCGGAUCGGAUCGGAGCUGCCGAAUGCAGUCGAGCAUUCAAAUUAAAAUUGAAUCAUUAUUAAAAUUCAUUUAGCAGAAGAGAGAGAGAGAGAAAGAGAACUCUGAGUCGAUUCACCGACUCGACAACCUCAUUAAAAUGGAUAGCUAAAGGCAGUUAAGGCGACAGGUCGAACAGCACUCAGCGCCAAUGAGCUCGCUCUCUACUAACACACACUGCUGUCUCUGAAUAUAUGUAUGUGUGUGUGUGUGUGUGUUUGCAUUUGGCAAAUUGUAAAAAUUUAAUUCGCAUAUCAUGCGCGAUAAUCAGCGGCGUGCAUUAUAAAACCAUAAAAAUCGCAAAAGCGCGGCCAUAAACCGCAACUGAGGCAAGUUGUGGCAUCUGGAGGCUGAAAGGGGCCGCAGACGGUGGGGGGAAAGGCACAAUUGUCGCAUGCAGUGCUAAUAAAUAUCCGAUUAUAUGGUAAUUGUAUGCUCGUUUAGUUCCCCCCGGCAAAAAUGGUUGUGUUCGGUUUUAGUUGGCAGCUCCUUUUUGGCGAAUUCGACCGCCCUCGGAGGAAGAAUUUGCAUUUGGCACAGCUGCAAAUGGCAAAUUGAAUGCCCAACUCGAUUGCAAUUUGAAUUUUAAUAAAUAUUUAUGCCACUCUCGCUCGGUCUCAUUAUUUGGCCAGCAGACUUCAUCUUAAA